GAUGAACGCCAGCGGCAGGCCUAAUACAUGCAAGUCGAACGGUGUCUUCGGACAUAGUGGCGCACGGGUGUGUAACACGUAUGCAACCUACCUUACAUUGGGGGAUAGCCUUUCGAAAGGGAGAUUAAUACCGCAUAAGACAGUAGCUGGGCAUCCAGCAGCUGUUAAAGAUUUAUCGAUGUAAGCUGGGCAUGCGUCCAAUUAGCUAGUUGGUGAGGUAACGGCUCACCAAGGCAAUGAUUGGUAGGGGAACUGAGAGGUCAAUCCCCCACACUGGCACUGGGAAACGGGCCAGGCUCCUACGGGAGGCAGCAGUAGGGAAUAUUGGGCAAUGGACGCAAGUCUGACCCAGCCAUGCCGCGUGCAGGAUGAAGGCGUUAUGCGUUGUAAACUGCUUUUAUACAGGAAGAAACGACUCUUGCGAGAGGCAUUGACGGUACUGUAUGAAUAAGCACCGGCUAACUCCGUGCCAGCCGCCGCCGUAAUAC
rnacentral:rRNA from 1 species